rnacentral:rRNA from 1 species
UACAGAGGGUGCAAGCGUUGUUCGGAAUUAUUGGGCGUAAAGCGCGUGUAGGCGGCUUUGCAAGUCGGGUGUGAAAGCCCUCGGCUCAACCGAGGAAGUGCGCCCGAAACUGCAGAGCUUGAGUACCGGAGAGGAUGGCGGAAUUCCCCAAGUAGAGGUGAAAUUCGUAGAUAUGGGGAGGAACACCGGUGGCGAAGGCGGCUCUCUGGGACGGUACUGACGCUGAGACGCGAAAGCGUGGGGAGCGAACAGG